UUAAGACAUCACAUCUGACAACUUAUUAACACUCUAGGGUUUACCAAAAUUUCUGCCAACACUUAGAACCAACAAAUUCCCCCUUUGGAAAAUUUUGGCUAAAACAUAUAUUAGUCCAUUUGUUCACAAGAGUAAACGCAUAUCAACAGUUAAGCAUAACAGCAGUUAAGCAGUAGCAGAAGCAAACACAAUUACUAGAUAUUAUAGCAACUAGUAAUGCACACAAUAAAC
rnacentral:lncRNA from 1 species